GAUGAACGCUGGCGGCGUGCCUAAUGCAUGCAAGUCGAGCGACGCAUGCCCAGUUCGCAAGUACAGGGUAUGACGGAGCGGCGAACGGGUGAGUAACACGUGAGCAACCUGCCCCACAGACCGGGAUAGCCCAAGGAAACUUGGAUUAAUACCGGAUUCCCUCGAACAAUCGCAUGGUUGAUCGAGGAAAGGCCUUUGUGCUGUGGGAUGGGCUCGCGGCUUAUCAGCUAGUUGGUGGGGUAAAGGCCUACCAAGGCAUCGACGAGUAACUGGUCUGAGAGGACGAUCAGCCACACUGGAACUGAGACACGGCCCAGACUCCUACGGGAGGCAGCAGCAGGGAAUCUUGCGCAAUGGGCGAAAGCCUGACGCAGCAACGCCGCGUGGGGGAUGAAGGCCUUCGGGUUGUAAACCCCUUUCAGGAGGGAAGAAAUUGACGGUACCUCCAGAAGAAGGACCGGCCAACUACGUGCCAGCAGCCGCGGUAAUACGUAGGGUCCUAGCGUUAUCCGGAAUCAUUGGGCGUAAAGAGCUCGUAGGCGGUUCAGCAAGUCGGCUGUGAAAGUCCGAGGCUUAACCUCGAAAUUGCAGUCGAUACUGCUGUGACCCGAGUCCGGUAGAGGAGAAUGGAAUUCUCGGUGUAGCGGUGAAAUGC
rnacentral:rRNA from 1 species